rnacentral:rRNA from 1 species
GAUGAACGCUGGCGGCGUGCUUAACACAUGCAAGUCGAACGGUGAAGCAGAGCUUGCUCUGUGGAUCAGUGGCGAACGGGUGAGUAACACGUGAGCAAUCUGCCCCUGACUCUGGGAUAAGCGCUGGAAACGGCGUCUAAUACCGGAUACGAGCUGCGAAGGCAUCUUCAGCAGCUGGAAAGAAUUUCGGUCAGGGAUGAGCUCGCGGCCUAUCAGCUUGUUGGUGAGGUAACGGCUCACCAAGGCGUCGACGGGUAGCCGGCCUGAGAGGGUGACCGGCCACACUGGGACUGAGACACGGCCCAGACUCCUACGGGAGGCAGCAGUGGGGAAUAUUGCACAAUGGGCGAAAGCCUGAUGCAGCAACGCCGCGUGAGGGACGACGGCCUUCGGGUUGUAAACCUCUUUUAGCAGGAAAGAAGCGAAAGUGACGGUACCUGCAGAAAAAGCGCCGGCUAACUACGUGCCAGCCGCCGCUGUAACAC